UACGGAGGAUCCGAGCGUUAUCCGGAUUUAUUGGGUUUAAAGGGUGCGUAGGCGGAUGUUUAAGUCAGUGGUGAAAGUUUGCGGCUCAACCGUAAAAUUGCCAUUGAAACUGAAUGUCUUGAGUGUAAAUGAGGUAGGCGGAAUGUGUUGUGUAGCGGUGAAAUGCUUAGAUAUAACACAGAACACCAAUUGCGAAGGCAGCUUACUGGGAUACAACUGACGCUGAGGCACGAAAGCGUGGGGAU
rnacentral:rRNA from 1 species